UAAAAAAAAUCUCGAACCAAG
rnacentral:piRNA from 1 species